AACUUUCAACAAUGGAUCUCUUGGCUCUGGCAUCGAUGAAGAACGCAGCGAAAUGCGAUAAGUAGUGUGAAUUGCAGAAUUCAGUGAAUCAUCGAAUCUUUGAACGCACAUUGCGCCCCUUGGUAUUCCAUGGGGCAUGCCUGUUCGAGCGUCAU
rnacentral:rRNA from 12 species